rnacentral:rRNA from 1 species
UACGAAGGGGGCUAGCGUUGAUCGGAAUUACUGGGCGUAAAGGGCGCGUAGGCGGACAGUUUAGUCAGAGGUGAAAGCCCAGGGCUCAACCUUGGAACUGCCUUUGAUACUGGCUGUCUUGAGUUCGGGAGAGGUGAGUGGAACUCCGAGUGUAGAGGUGAAAUUCGUAGAUAUUCGGAAGAACACCAGUGGCGAAGGCGACUCACUGGCCCGAUACUGACGCUGAGGCGCGAAAGCGUGGGGAGCAAACAGG